AGAUUGAACGCUGGCGGCAGGCCUAACACAUGCAAGUCGAGCGGCAGCACGGGUACUUGUACCUGGUGGCGAGCGGCGGACGGGUGAGUAAUGCCUAGGAAUCUGCCUGGUAGUGGGGGGAUAACGCUCGGAAACGGACGCUAAUACCGCAUACGUCCUACGGGAGAAAGCAGGGGACCUUCGGGCCUUGCGCUAUCAGAUGAGCCUAGGUCGGAUUAGCUAGUUGGUGAGUAAUGGCUCACCAAGGCGACGAUCCGUAACUGGUCUGAGAGGAUGAUCAGUCACACUGGAACUGAGACACGGUCCAGACUCCUACGGGAGGCAGCGAGUGGGGAAUAGUUGGACAAGUGGACGAAAGCCUGAUCCAGCCAUGCCGCGUGUGUGAAGAAGGUCUUCGGUAUUAGUAAAGUCGUAACGUUUUAAGUUGGGUAAGGGAAGGUCGUAAGUUAACCGUAAUACGUA
rnacentral:rRNA from 1 species